GGACAGAUGGCCGAGCUGGUUAUGGCGCCAGGUUAAGGAGUAUACAUCCUGGUCACGAAAGUGGCGUGGGUUCGAGUCCCACUCUGUUCA
rnacentral:tRNA from 1 species